CGUGAUGAAUGACCAUAUGUGUGUUUUUAAUGUGAAUUGAUAGGUUGAUUGCAAAUACGUUGUUUUAUGGUCAUCUUGCAAUUGUGGUCGCAAAUAAGGUUGUCCCGGGUGCGGAAGAAAGUUAAGUAAUGUAAAGAUUGAAGUUAAAGUUGCUUUAUGGAUAUUGGUUGCUUUAGCUAAAUGCGGAUAAUGGUAACGUUGAUAGGACCCGUAGAGACCCCUUUGAACUAUGGCUCAUGAUACAUUGAUUGGUUACUUCUAUCGAGUCAUUUUGUAUUAGAAAUGUGUUGGAUUGUGUUUGAAAUGUACCUUUGGAAAACUCUUAA